GACGAACGCUGGCGGCGCGCCUAACACAUGCAAGUCGAACGAGCGAGAGAGAGCUUGCUUUCUCGAGCGAGUGGCGAACGGGUGAGUAACGCGUGAGGAACCUGCCUCAAAGAGGGGGACAACAGUUGGAAACGACUGCUAAUACCGCAUAAGCCCACGGCUCGGCAUCGAGCAGAGGGAAAAGGAGCAAUCCGCUUUGAGAUGGCCUCGCGUCCGAUUAGCUAGUUGGUGAGGUAACGGCCCACCAAGGCGACGAUCGGUAGCCGGACUGAGAGGUUGAACGGCCACAUUGGGACUGAGACACGGCCCAGACUCCUACGGGAGGCAGCAGUGGGGAAUAUUGCACAAUGGGGGAAACCCUGAUGCAGCGACGCCGCGUGGAGGAAGAAGGUCUUCGGAUUGUAAACUCCUGUUGUUGAGGAAGAUAAUGACGGUACUCAACAAGGAAGUGACGGCUAACUACGUGCCAGCAGCCGCGGUAAAACGUAGGUCACAAGCGUUGUCCGGAAUUACUGGGUGUAAAGGGAGCGCAGGCGGGAAGACAAGUUGGAAGUGAAAUCCAUGGGCUCAACCCAUGAACUGCUUUCAAAACUGUUUUUCUUGAGUAGUGCAGAGGUAGGCGGAAUUCCCGGUGUAGCGGUGGAAUGCGUAGAUAUCGGGAGGAACACCAGUGGCGAAGGCGGCCUACUGGGCACCAACUGACGCUGAGGCUCGAAAGUGUGGGUAGCAAACAGGAUUAGAUACCCUGGUAGUCCACACUGUAAACGAUGAUUACUAGGUGUUGGAGGAUUGACCCCUUCAGUGCCGCAGUUAACACAAUAAGUAAUCCACCUGGGGAGUACGACCGCAAGGUUGAAACUCAAAGGAAUUGACGGGGGCCCGCACAAGCAGUGGAGUAUGUGGUUUAAUUCGACGCAACGCGAAGAACCUUACCAAGUCUUGACAUCCUGCGACGGUGCUGGAAACAGAACUUUCCUUCGGGACGCAGAGACAGGUGGUGCAUGGUUGUCGUCAGCUCGUGUCGUGAGAUGUUGGGUUAAGUCCCGCAACGAGCGCAACCCUUAUGGUCAGUUACUACGCAAGAGGACUCUGGCCAGACUGCCGUUGACAAAACGGAGGAAGGUGGGGAUGACGUCAAAUCAUCAUGCCCUUUAUGACUUGGGCUACACACGUACUACAAUGGCGUUAAACAAAGAGAAGCAAGACCGCGAGGUGGAGCAAAACUCAGAAACAACGUCCCAGUUCGGACUGCAGGCUGCAACUCGCCUGCACGAAGUCGGAAUUGCUAGUAAUCGCAGAUCAGCAUGCUGCGGUGAAUACGUUCCCGGGCCUU
rnacentral:rRNA from 1 species